rnacentral:rRNA from 1 species
AGGAUGACCAGCCACACUGGAACUGAGACACGGUCCAGACUCCUACGGGAGGCAGCAGUGGGGAAUAUUGCACAAUGGGCGCAAGCCUGAUGCAGCCAUGCCGCGUGUAUGAAGAAGGCCUUCGGGUUGUAAAGUACUUUCAGCGGGGAGGAAGGGAGUAAAGUUAAUACCUUUGCUCAUUGACGUUACCCGCAGAAGAAGCACCGGCUAACUCCGUGCCAGCAGCCGCGGUAAUACGGAGGGUGCAAGCGUUAAUCGGAAUUACUGGGCGUAAAGCGCACGCAGGCGGUUUGUUAAGUCAGAUGUGAAAUCCCCGGGCUCAACCUGGGAACUGCAU